UUCGGUUUUUCAGAACGGCCACGUGAACUGUCAGCGUACAGCGUGCUCUAGUGACAAAGAAUGCUAUUUUCUGCUGUACAGUGAGAAAGGAGCCUGUUGUAAGUUAUGUAAAGGUUGUUAUUUAAACGGAAGGUUCCAUGAAAGUGAAACUGAGUGGGUGGAUAGCAGCGACCCCUGUCGAACGUAUUCUUGUCAAUCUGGGAUCCUAACAGAAGCUAGGCUUCACUGCCACGUUCCAUGCCGCAACCCUCAGCUACCUAGGCCUGGAGAAUGUUGUCCUGCUUGUCAAGGU